UGUUUUAAAAUCAGAGUGGGCGGGAUUUAGGUUUGGCCACGCCCAUGGUUUAUUCGUGGUUCAGGAUGGGUUUGGUGAAGGGAAGGGUUAAAUGGGGGCGUGGUCAGGCCCAAAAUGUGGGUGUGGUUUGGCGUCUCAGAAUCAGAGUGGGUGGGGUUUUGGUUUGGCCACGCCCGUUGUUUAUUCGUGGUUGGAAAUGGGUUUGAUGGCAGAAAGGGUUAAAUGGGGGCGUGGUCAGACCCAAAAAGUGGGUGUGGUUUGGCGUUUCGAAGUCAGUAAGGGGCGGGGUUUGAGUUUGGCCCCGCCCAUGGUUUAUUCGUGGUUCAGGAUGGGUUUGGUGAAAGGCGGGGUUAAAUAACCAAAUAAGGGGCGUGGUCAUCACAUCUAAGGGGCGUGGCCUAAGGGCUGGGUGGAGCACUACCAUGUUUGGCAUUGUGGGCGUGGCUUUUUGUGGGCGGAGCUCGGAGGAGGAGACCUGUGUGGGUGUGGGGGUUGGCCACGCCCUGUUUGGCCACGCCCCUCACUGACCACGCCCUCUUUUGGCCCCGCCCCCCAGCACAUCUGCCGCUACCUCCAGGCCGAGGCGGACAAGAAGGAGCGGCCGGAUUUCCGCGAGGGCUGGAGGGGAGCCUUCAAAAUGAACGUCGCCCGGCAGAACAACGACAGCGACUGCGGCGCCUUCGUGCUGCAGUACUGCAAAUUCCUGGCGCUGGGGCGGCCGUUCAGCUUCACGCAGCAGGACAUGCCCCACCUGCGCCGCCUGAUGUACAAGGAGCUCUGCCACUGCCAGCUCGCCCUCUAAAAACCCCAAAUUUGGGGGAUUCACCCCAAAAAAACCCCGGAAAAAUCCCCCAAAAAAACCCCCCAAAAAUCCCCCAAAAAAACCCCGGAAAAAUCCGCCCCGGAACGGCCGAAUUUGGGAUUUUUUGGGGAAUUUUAGGGGAAUUUUUGGGGAAUUUUUGGGGAAUUUUUGGGGUUUUUUGGGGAAUUUUUGGGGAUUUUUUUGGGGAAUUUUCGGGGUUUUUUGGGAAAUUUUGGUGGUUUUUUGGGAAGGUCCAAAAAUUUUGGGAGCUCCCGGAAUUCCGAG
rnacentral:lncRNA from 1 species